rnacentral:misc_RNA from 1 species
UACAGAGGUCCCGAGCGUUGCGCGGAAUUACUGGGCUUAAAGGGUGCGUAGGCGGGCCACCAAGUGCUUUGUGAAAUCCCACGGCUUAACCGUGGAAUUGCUUGGCAGACUGGUGGUCUUGAGGUCGGUAGGGGCUGCCGGAACAGUAGGUGGAGCGGUGAAAUGCGUAGAUAUCUACUGGAACGCCCAAGGCGAAGGCAGGCAGCUGGGCCGAUUCUGACGCUGAGGCACGAAAGCGUGGGUAGCGAACGGG